CAGUCGCCACGGGAAUAUGUAGGGUGCAAGCGUUAAUCGGAAUUACUGGGCGUAAAGCGUGCGCAGGCGGUUCGUUAAGACAGAUGUGAAAUCCCCGGGCUUAACCUGGGAACUGCAUUUGUGACUGGCGGGCUAGAGUAUGGCAGAGGGGGGUAGAAUUCCACGUGUAGCAGUGAAAUGCGUAGAGAUGUGGAGGAAUACCGAUGGCGAAGGCAGCCCCCUGGGCCAAUACUGACGCUCAUGCACGAAAGCGUGGGGAGCAAACAGGAUUAGAUACCCCCGUAGUCCCUGUCUCUUAUAC
rnacentral:rRNA from 1 species